UUCAUUACGGGGAGUGGCCCCACCGUAUCCAACAUGGCAGCUUCUAUCUGGCGGAUCGCCGACGCCCACUUCCGGGUUCCGUACUGCUGGCCAGGCUACUUCCGGCAGCGCGAUGGCUGGGUUCCCGGGACUCGAACGGAAGUUCCGGCGGGGGCGGCCGAGGGGGAAGAGAGUGUGUCUGUGCAGGAGAAAGAGGAGAAUCGCCCGAGAGGUCUCGAAACCCCCAGGGAGUGGAGGCCCCAGCCGUGGAGCCCUGCAGUGUAUGUGUGGUAACACCAUGUCUGUGCCCCUGCUCACCGAUGCUGCCACUGUGUCUGGAGCUGAGCGGGAAACGGCUGCGGUUAUUUUUUUACAUGGACUUGGAGACACAGGGCACAGCUGGGCUGACGCCCUCUCCACCAUCCGGCUCCCUCACGUCAAGUACAUCUGUCCCCAUGCACCCCGGAUCCCUGUGACGCUCAACAUGAAGAUGGUGAUGCCCUCCUGGUUUGACCUAAUGGGGCUGAGUCCUGAUGCCCCAGAGGACGAGGCCGGCAUCAAGAAGGCAGCAGAGAACAUCAAGGCCUUGAUUGAACACGAGAUGAAGAAUGGGAUCCCUGCCAAUCGAAUCGUCCUGGGAGGCUUUUCACAGGGUGGGGCCCUGUCCCUCUACACGGCCCUUACCUGUCCCCACCCCCUGGCUGGCAUCGUGGCAUUGAGCUGCUGGCUGCCUCUGCAUCGGGCCUUCCCCCAGGCAGCCAAUGGCAGUGCCAAGGACCUGGCCAUCUUGCAGUGCCACGGGGAGCUGGACCCCAUGGUUCCAGUACGGUUUGGGGCCCUGACGGCCGAGAAGCUUCGGUCCGUCGUCACACCCGCCAGGGUCCAGUUCAAGACGUACCCAGGUGUCAUGCACAGCUCCUGCCCUCAGGAGAUGGCAGCCGUGAAGGAGUUUCUUGAGAAGCUGCUGCCUCCUGUCUAACCAGAGUCGCUGGCCCCCAGCGCAGGACCCCAGCUCCUGGGGGACGCAGCACGCGCGGCGCCAUCUCGGAUCUGAGCCGCUGCUUCUCAAUCAUGAAUGUGUCCAUGGCCCGGCCCCCGUGCUGCUGUGGGCUGCCUGCCCCUGGGCAGGGGUGUUGGUGAGGGGGCAGAGUCCUUCGAGGGGGGCCUUCCCUUAGGCCCCUGAAACGUGGGGGCUGGGCCCUGCCCCUCCCCGCCCCCCCCCCCCCCCAUUGCCCUGUUCUCCCCCGUAGGCCUGGAGCCUGCAGGGCUGGACUGAGGCUCAAAGUCUCCCCCCGCUGUCCCACUCCCACGUUGUCCCCACUCUAGGGCCAGGGGGGAGGUGGGGGAGUUGUGUCUCGUCUUCUGUCUCCAUGUGGUUUUGGGUGUUUUUCUUGUUGUAUCCUGGAUUCCGAUAAAAUUAAAUUGCUUCAACUCUCA